rnacentral:rRNA from 1 species
GGGUUGUGAGGUUAAGCGACUAAGCGUACACGGUGGAUGCCCUGGCAGUCAGAGGCGAUGAAGGACGUGCUAAUCUGCGAUAAGCGUCGGUAAGGUGAUAUGAACCGUUAUAACCGGCGAUUUCCGAAUGGGGAAACCCAGUGUGAUUCGUCACACUAUCAUUAACUGAAUCCAUAGGUUAAUGAGGCGAACCGGGGGAACUGAAACAUCUAAGUACCCCGAGGAAAAGAAAUCAACCGAGAUUCCCCCAGUAGCGGCGAGCGAACGGGGAGCAGCCCAGAGCCUGAAUCAGUGUGUGUGUUAGUGGAAGCGUCUGGAAAGGCGCGCGAUACAGGGUGACAGCCCCGUACACAAAAAUGCACAUACUGUGAGCUCGAUGAGUAGGGCGGGACACGUGGUAUCCUGUCUGAAUAUGGGGGGACCAUCCUCCAAGGCUAAAUACUCCUGACUGACCGAUAGUGAACCAGUACCGUGAGGGAAAGGCGAAAAGAACCCCGGCGAGGGGAGUGAAAAAGAACCUGAAACCGUGUACGUACAAGCAGUGGGAGCACGCUUAGGCGUGUGACUGCGUACCUUUUGUAUAAUGGGUCAGCGACUUAUAUUCUGUAGCAAGGUUA